GAUGAACGCUAGCGGGAGGCUUAACACAUGCAAGUCGAGCGGGAUUAGCAGCAAUGCUAUGAGAGCGGCGCACGGGUGCGUAACGCGUAUGCAACCUGCCUUAUACAGGGGAAUAGCCCAUGGAAACGUGGAUUAAUGUCCCAUAGGAUUACGGAUUCGCAUGGAUUUGUGAUUAAAACUGAGGUGGUAUAAGAUGGGCAUGCGUCUGAUUAGGUAGUUGGUAGGGUAAUGGCCUACCAAGCCGACGAUCAGUAGGGGUUCUGAGAGGAUUACCCCCCACACUGGUACUGAGACACGGACCAGACUCCUACGGGAGGCAGCAGUGAGGAAUAUUGGUCAAUGGCCGGAAGGCUGAACCAGCCAUCCCGCGUGCAGGAUGACGGCCCUAUGGGUUGUAAACUGCUUUUGUACCUGAAGAAACCUGUUUACGAGUAGACAGUUGCCGGUAAGGUAUGAAUAAGCAUCGGCUAACUCCGUG
rnacentral:rRNA from 1 species